rnacentral:lncRNA from 1 species
AUGUUCUGGUACCUCAGAGCUCCCCAGGUCACCUCCUCUCAUGUUCUGGUACCUCAGAGCUCCCCAGGUCACCUCCUCUCAUGUUCUGGUACUCAGAGCUCCCAGGACAACCCUCUCAUGUUCUGGUACCUCAGAGCUCCCCAGGUCAACCCCUCUCAUGUUUCUGGUACCUCAGAGCCCCCCAGGUCACCUGCUCCAGUUCUGGUACCUCAGAGCUGCCCAGGUCAACCCCCUUUCAUGUUCUGGUACCUCAGAGCUCCCCAGGUCAACCCCCUCUCAUGUUCUGGUACCUCAGAGCCCCCCAGGUCAACCUCCUCUCAUGUUCUGGUACCUCCGAGCUCCCCAGGUCAACUCCCUCUCAUGUUCUGGUACCUCAGAGCUCCCCAGGUCAACCC